rnacentral:SRP_RNA from 1 species
ACUGGCGGGUGUAGCGGCCCGCUGUGAUCUAAGCAGAAGUCGGCUGUGUGGCGAGAGCGUUUCUGAGUCUGUGGGGCGAGCUGCGGAGACACCUCAGGGUGUACAUGCAGAUCCGCCCCAGCAACGCAGCAGUCUCCUCGGCUGUCUCCUGGAAAGGAGACACCCCAGGGGAUGAUGAGACGCGGAACGCCUCAGGCUGGGAACAGAGCAGGGAAAAGCGUACGCUGUUGCGAGUGCUGGGACUACGGAACCACCCGUCUCUCGCAGACACCUGCAGACUCCCUCUCCACACACAGCUUU